rnacentral:rRNA from 1 species
CCGAAGUGGGGCGGGCCUACUAUGGCAUUGCCAAUUCGACUUAUUAGACUCUUGACUACUAGACAAAGAUACUGAUUUCUUGGCCCUUUCAGAGUCCUCCUCCCCCGGGAUUUCCUCCUGAUGAAGACGGGGCUGCGCUAACUGCCUAAUCUUCUACUGGUGCUUGCUCCGGGCCUUGGACUGUUGGACUUACCAAUGUUGAUUUAUACAGUUGACGAUGCUACGGCUUCCCAACCCUACUAUGAGAGGAUGAUCUGAGAGGAGCUUAUGUCACUCAGCAUUUAAAACUUUUUCAAGACUGCUCCGGGAGGCAGAUGUGGGGAACAUUGGUGGGUGGGGGAAUUCCUUACCCAGCCCUGCCGCGUGUGUGUCUGAGGUCUUCCCAUUGUCCCCCUUUUAAUUUGGAAGGAAGGGCGGUCCACCUAUACGUCAGUGUUUUGAAAUACCGAGGAAAACACACCGGGUAAUUCUGUGCCAGCAUGCGCGGUAAUACAGAGGGUGCAAUCGUUUAUCAAGAACUACAGGGCAAACAGCGCACGAAUGUCUGAUCGUGUGGUUCUAUGUUUAAUCCCCAUGAUCAACCUGUGAACUCGCUUCCAAAGAGGCGAGAUAUAGUAUGGUACAGGGUGGGAGACAUUUACUGUGUAGCCGCGCAAUGCGUAUAUACAGGAUUGAACACCGUGGUACGACAGCGACCUUCUGUACUGUUUUGCUGACCCAUGAUGUGCAAAAUCGUGGGGAACAACAGAAUAGUAGACCCUUGGUGGUCCGCGGUUCCUACCAUAUGAAUAACUAACCCGUUUGGCGAGCAUCAGACGUAUUAUUAGCCGCCCCUAUAUAAAUUAUUGUCCCCCUGUUGAAGUGAGGUCCCCCCAGGUUGUAACUCACAAGUAUUUGAAAGGAGCUUACAAGAGAGGAGCGCGAGGUUGAUCAAUCUACUGAAAAACGUACCAGCUGAAUGCCCGGUGUCUAAAGAUUGCGCGCCUUCUCUCACGGUAAAAGUACGCCAGCAUGCUAUAUCGUCUCGACCAGAUGUAGUUCACAAGACAGCGCGUACU